rnacentral:lncRNA from 1 species
UUGGGUUCCAGAGAGGGGAGUGGCGGUCGGGUGAUGGAGGCAGGGAAUCUGGCAGCACACAGGCCCAGUACUCAGCCUGGAAGGAGAGGCGUCUCCUGCCUAGCCCAGAAGCAUCACCCCCAGAGAACACAGGCUGUGGUGACCACUGGGGCCGAGGUCCUAGCCCCACCACAGAGGAAGGUUCCUGGGGGACGACCGGCUCCAGGGAGGAGGAGACCUUGGCCAGAGAACCACCACGAGGCUCCGCCCUCUCCUGGUGACCCUGGAGACUGCUGCCUGUGGAGGAAGCAGAGAUGCUGCAGCUGGAAGGCUGAGCUGCGGAACCUGGGCUCAGCACGGACUUCCACUGUGACAGGCAAGAGAGACCUGAGCUGUGAGGCUGCUGGCUGAGGUCCAGUGCCUGGGGCAAAUCUGCUAGGGAUGGAUCAUCUUCGGUAUCAGCAUCAUGUCCUGAGCAAAUAGUUGUUGUUCUGGGAAGGCUCAGAGUCUGAGGGAACUCCUCGGAGGAAGAAAGCUUGGUCUUCUCCACUGGCUUUCCCCGGAGAGCAGAAGGUCUCCAGACCCCAUGGUGGCAGGAGGCAGGCCACUGAGUGCAGGCUCAGACCUCUCAGCUACGGGCUCUCUGUUGGCAUCACUGGCCUGUGGCUGGUGGGCUCUAGAGGGGCCGCCAGGGUCAGUCCCAAUCCAGCAAGUAGGGGCAGGUAUCCCUUCUGCCCCCCAUACAGGGGAGAUGAGCCCUCCCUCAGCUUCCAGGCGUGG